GAGGAGAGCGCUUGUCCCAGGUCCCUACCAGGUGCCCGUAGACGUCGGCAGGCUGGAGGUAGAAGGUGGAGUUGAGCAGCUCUUCCAGCCUGCGCGGAACGUCGUUCUCCCGGUAGUACUCCAUCGCCUGCUGCUUCAGCUUCUGCAGCUCCCUAGUGGUCCCACAGCUGCGGCCGCCGCCUUCUUCCUCCAUGAUGGAGAGUGUUGGCGUGUACGGAUUCUGUGGGUGUAAAGCAAAGAACAAAAUGAAGUGUGAUUCAAGGUGGGAAAUAGCCGCUUCAGGUAGGAAAUUAACUAAUGUGUGUAAGUAUCAAACUGGCAUCUGAAAUAACUGCCCCAGAACCUCAUUCC
rnacentral:lncRNA from 1 species